GCUAAAAAUCUAGCCCACUAAAAUCCUUAUAAACUCAUACACUUUAUUUGAUAAACCAAAACAUUUUAACAUCUUAGUAAAGGGGAUUGAAAAACUAAUUGGAGCAAUAUUAAUAGUACCGCAAGGGAAAGAUGAAAUAAAAAUGAAAUAAACCUUAAGCACAAAAAAGUAGAGAUCAUCCCUCGUACCUUUUGCAUCAUGGUUUAACUAGUUUAAUCAAGCAUAAAGUAUUAUAGUUUGACCCCCCGAAACUAAGUGAGCUACUUCAGGGCAGCUUUAUGAGCAAACCCGUCUCUGUUGCAAAAGAGUGGGGUGACCCUCAAGUAGAGGUGAUAGACCUAACGAGCCUAGUGAUAGCUGGUUACUCAAGAAAAGGAUUUUAGUCCAACCUAAAGCUUUUUACUAUUAGUAAAAAUUUAUAUUAAACUUUAGAGCAAUUCAAAUAAGGUACAGCCUAUUUGAAACAGGAUACAACCUUAGCUGACGGGUAUAUAAGUUUAUUUAUUAAACCAAGUGGGCCUAAGAGCAGCCAUCUCUAAAAAAGCGUCAAAGCUUAAUUGAAUAGCUAAACCAAUUCCUAUAACCUCCUCUAACCCUCUAUUAGUAUUGAGUAAUUCUAUACUCAUAUAGAAUCUAUUAUGUUAAAACUAGUAACAAGAAGCUAAACCUUCUCUUAGAUGUAUAUGUAAAUCAGAAUGGAUAAACCACUGAUAAUUAACGCCUAUGAAUCCGCAUUAGUAACCCGUUCAAGAAAACCCUAAUUACCCUUUACGUUAACCUAACACAAGAACACCUCAAGAAAGAUUAAAAGAAAAAGAAGGAACUCGGCAAAUUUUAACCCCGCCUGUUUACCAAAAACAUCGCCUCUUGCAUAAAAAUAAGAGGUCUAGCCUGCCCAGUGACCAUAGUUCAACGGCCGCGGUAUCCUAACCGUGCGAAGGUAGCGUAAUCACUUGUUCUUUAAAUGAGGACUAGUAUGAAUGGCAUCACGAGGGUUAUACUGUCUCCUUUUUCUGAUCAGUAAAACUAUUCUCCCCGUGAAGAAACGGAGAUGAUUUUAUAAGACGAGAAGACCCUAUGGAGCUUUAAAUUUUAUUUUAAUUGCCCCCCCCCCAUAACUCGUCCUGACCUCUUACUUCUAACUAAGCAUAAUAAAAAUAAAUUUUAGGUUGGGGUGACCGCGGAGCAUAAGAGAACCUCCGCAUAGAACAGGCCUAAGCCUUGAACGUAGAGCUACGACUCUAAGUACUAAUAUAUUAACAUCCAUUGACCCAAUAUUUUUGAUCAACGAACCAAGUUACCCUAGGGAUAACAGCGCAAUCUACUUUGAGAGCUCCUAUCGACAAGUAGGUUUACGACCUCGAUGUUGGAUCAGGGUAUCCCAGUGGUGCAGCCGCUACUAAAGGUUCGUUUGUUCAACGAUUAAAACCCU
rnacentral:rRNA from 1 species